UGUGGCCUAAAGCUUUAAAACUCCGCUAAAUCCUGGACAAUGUUGGGGACAUCUGACUAGGGACUUAUCAGAAAAAAAGUUGAGGACAGCUGAAGAGAGACAGGGAAUGUAGGAGGAAGAAAGUGGUGGAAGACAUGCAGCAGAAGUUUGUGGCAGGGAGUCAAACCAGUGACCACUGCGACAAGGGCUCUGGCAACUGUUUUUGGGGCUUGGCUUAAACCACUAGGCGGACCCGCACCCCAAGAAUUAAUUUUAAAGUGGAUUGAAGAACUGCACGAACUGAAGAACUGCACAAACUCUCACCAUAAGACCAGGAGUAUGUACGGUCAUAUGGACUUUGAAAAUCAGCCCAUAUACCUGCUGCAUCCCCUCCAUCCUGAGAGACUGCUGCAUCAGUCAAUUUCAUCUGUUUCCAUCACCUCUUCUCAGGCAGAUAAGCCAUUUGAGCGCCUCCUCAGUUCCCGGAGUUCUCUACUGCAGUCUGAUCUUCUGUGCCAUCACCAGCUCCACUACACCAUCCUCCAAGAUCCCUUAUUCCCUGUUUUAUCUUAAACAUGCUAUGUCGAUGACAGCAUCGUCGCAUGGGGGGAAACUGGAGCUGGAAUCUUUCUCUGAAAAAGCUCAGGAAGCAGUUGUGGCACUCGAUCUCUUACAUUGUGCUGCCAGCUAGAGCCUCAGAGAGGAAAGAAGGAUGUAUACCCCUGCUGAGGGGACAUGGUAGAAUUUACUACAAGUUUCGAGAUACAUACGCAGCAAGAAAGAAACUUUGAGAGAAACACAAGGUUGAUGAAAUAUAGAUGGAGCUGUGUUGAAUGAGAUGAGACAGGGUUUUGUCUCAAGUUCCACCAUGUUCUUACUAUGAACUCGUCAGUAACAGCAGCUUUGUCUUUAGGCCCAAAGCGGCAACAUAUAAUGAUCUUGGUAGCUCACUUUAUGGCGCAUACAGGGCUCUUAGGUAAAGUUAGCAAUGAGAGAUAUGCACUGAAGAAACUUUAAGAAUCACUUACAAACUUUUCUGAUGGUUUUUUUUUUAACUUUUGGAGGUGAAAAAGUCAGCUUGUUUAGGGCCUGUGUCCACCAACUGUAUUUUAUUUGUGCUGCCAGCACCUAUUUCCAUUACGGAGCCAAUAUAGCUAGGCCUUUUAAGCACUUCAGCACUCUAAGCCCCAAAGCCCUUGUCAGCUGUUUUUGCGCCCAGAGCUAAAACUACUUCAACUUUUUGGAAUAAGGUUUGUCAAC